UGAGGGAUAUUGGUCAAUGGGCGCAAGCCUGAACCAGCGACGCCGCGUGGGUGAAGAAGGUCUUCGGAUCGUAAAGCCCUUUUCCCACUGAAGAGGAAGGACGGUAGGUGGGGAAGAAGUCUCGGCUAACUACGUGCUAGCAGCCGCGGUAAUACGUAGUGGGCAAGCGUUGUCCGGAUUUACUGGGUGUAAAGGGCGCGCAGGCGGGAUAAAAAGUCAGUGGUGAAAUCCUACAGCUUAACUGUAGAACUGCCUUUGAUACUUUUAUUCUUGAGUUCGGGAGAGAGAGACGGAAUUCCAGGUGUAGUGGUGAAAUACGUAGAUAUCUGGAAGAACACCAGUUGCGAAGGCGGUCUCUUGGUCCGACACUGACGCUGAGGCGCGAAAGCGUGGGGAGCAAAC
rnacentral:rRNA from 1 species